rnacentral:rRNA from 1 species
CAAUAGCGUAUACUAAAGUUGUUGCAGUUAAAAAGCUCGUAGUUGAAUUUCUGGUCUUGGACGGCGGUCUACCACAAUUGUGGUACGUACCAACUGUCCGAGUCCAUCCUCGGGGAAAACAUGCCUGUGAUUCAGUUCAUGGGUAUGGGAUCCUCGUCAUUUACUGUGAGCAAAAUAGAGUGUUCAAAGCAGGCUUAUGCCGUUGAAUACAUUAGCAUGGAAUAAUAGAAUAGGACUUUGGUUCUAUUUUGUUGGUUUCUAGGACCGAAGUAAUGAUUAAUAGGGACAGUUGGGGGCAUUAGUAUUUAAUUGUCAGAGGUGAAAUUCUUGGAUUUAUGAAAGACUAACUACUGCGAAAGCAUUUGCCAAGGAUGUUUUCAUUAAUCAAGAACGAAAGUUAGGGGAUCGAAGAUGAUUAGAUACCAU